AAGGGCAUUGCAUGGCUGAUCAACUGUUUUUGGAUGUUGAUGACUUUGUCGCGUCGCAUGCAAUUGUAUGCGACGCGACAUUACACAUUACUGAAAAAGUUACACAAGUCCUCAUGGUCCUUAUAGAGUGGGCCACACAUUUGCUACAAUGGAUGCUCGGUCGUGCCGCUCGCCAGCGAACCUAAAAAUCAUUCGAAGUCCAGAUUAGAUAUCUGAAACCGGUACUAUUAAGUAGGAAUCGCGAGUAAUCGAAAAUCAGACAAGUUUCGGUGAAGUUAAAAGAUAUUGUAGACAUUGACUAUUUCAGAUCCUGAAAUAGUCGUGGCAUACAUAUCUUCAUUAUUUUAGUUGAUCUAGUACUCACUGCCCGUCAAGUACUGAAAGAAAUUUUGAUGUGAAAAUACAUAAUUAUCAUAUAGAUACACAAUGUAUAUAUAACUUUAACGUUUUAAUUGGUAUUAAGUCGUAACAAGGUGACACUAGGGGAACCUGGUGUCGAGAUAGAAAA
rnacentral:rRNA from 1 species